CGUGCUUAACACAUGCAAGUCGAACGAGACGAAUUAGAAGCUUGCUUUUGACGAGUCGAGUGGCAAACGGGUGAGUAACGCGUAGACAACCUGCCGCAAAGAUGGGGACAACAGUCCGAAAGGACUGCUAAUACCGAAUGUUGUAUCUCCACCGCAUGGAAGAGAUAUUAAAGAUGGCCUCUACUUGUAAGCUAUCGCUUUGCGAUGGGUCUGCGUCUGAUUAGCUAGUUGGUGGGGCAACGGCCUACCAAGGCGACGAUCAGUAGCCGGUCUGAGAGGAUGAACGGCCACAUUGGAACUGAGACACGGUCCAGACUCCUACGGGAGGCAGCAGUGGGGAAUCUUCCGCAAUGGGCGAAAGCCUGACGGAGCAACGCCGCGUGAGUGAAGAAGGUCUUCGGAUCGUAAAGCUCUGUUGUCGGGGACGAAUGUUGAGGCCUAGAACAUAGGCUUCAAAUGACGGUACCUGACGAGGAAGCCACGGCUAACUACGUG
rnacentral:rRNA from 1 species